UACGAAGGGUGCAAACGUUGCUCGGAAUCAUUGGGCGUAAAGCGCACGUAGGCGGCUUCGCAAGUCGGAUGUGAAAUACCUCGGCUCAACCAAGGACGUGCAUACGAAACUGCGAAGCUUGAGUACUGAAGAAGAUCGCGGAAUUCCCGGUGUAGAGGUGAAAUUCGUAGAUAUCGGGAGGAACACCAGUGGCGAAGGCGGCGAUCUGGGCAGAUACUGACGCUGAGGUGCGAAAGCGUGGGGAGCAAACAGG
rnacentral:rRNA from 1 species